rnacentral:misc_RNA from 1 species
AACGCAAAUGGCGGUUUGGGGAUAUGCCUCAGACCACGUUUCUCUGACUAUCGGUUUCAACUCAACUCUACACCUUGCUGAAAAGUAAGUGUGUAGGAUAUCUGGGAUGUCUCGAUCACAUCGAGUCUCCUUAAAUGCAAAAGCGGAACUUUCACGAGUCUGAUACAGUUCGUGUUCUCGCGUGCGACGCCAGAUAAUUACCUUGCAUUCCCUCCGGGUUGCAUAGGUAUAUCAGGCGUAACUGCAGUGAGUAAUAACGUUGUACACAGUCGUGAAAACGAUGCUUUACUGGGAAAUAACAACAUCUUUUGAGAUGUUACGACAACUAGAUGUCAGAUGAAGCGAGAUUACCCGCUGAACUUAA